AUUGAACGCUGGCGGCAGGCUUAACACAUGCAAGUCGAGCGGAAACGACCUAGCUUGCUAGGGGCGUCGAGCGGCGGACGGGUGAGUAACGCGUGGGAAUUUGCCCAGUAGUGGGGGAUAGCCCGGAGAAAUCCGGAUUAAUACCGCAUAAUACCUAAGGGUUAAAGAUGGCCUCUUCUUGAAAGCUAUCGCUAUUGGAUAAGCCCGCGUCGGAUUAGCUAGUUGGUGGGGUAAAGGCCUACCAAGGCGACGAUCCGUAGCUGGUCUGAGAGGAUGAUCAGCCACACUGGGACUGAGACACGGCCCAGACUCCUACGGGAGGCAGCAGUGGGGAAUAUUGGACAAUGGGCGCAAGCCUGAUCCAGCCAUGCCGCGUGUGUGAAGAAGGCUCUAGGGUUGUAAAGCACUUUAAGUUGGGAGGAAAGGUUGAAGGUUAAUACCCUUUAACUGUGACGUUACCAACAGAAUAAGCACCGGCUAACUCCGUG
rnacentral:rRNA from 1 species